GACGAACGCUGGCGGCGUGCUUAACACAUGCAAGUCGAACGGAAAGGCGCCGCUCUUGUGGGGUGCUCGAGUGGCGAACGGGAGAGUAACACGAGAGUAACCUGCCCUUGACUUUGGGACAACUUAAGGACACUGGGGCUUAUCUCGGAUAGGAGCUCCUGCUGCAUGGUGGGGGUUGGAAAGUUUCGGCGGUUGGGGAUGGACUGGCGGCGUAUCAGCUUGUUGGUGGGGUAGUGGGUUACCAGGGCUUUGACGGGUAGCCGGCCUGAGAGGGUGACCGGCCACGUUGAGACUGAGAUACGGCCCAGACUCCUGCGGUAGGCAGCAGUGGGGGAUAGUGCGCUGUGGGCGGAAGCCUGGUGCGGCAACGCCGCGUGCGGUGUGACGGCCUUCGGGUUGUGAACCGCUUUCGCCUGUGACGAAGCGUGAGUGACGGUAAUUGGUAAAGAAGCACCGGCUAACUACGUG
rnacentral:rRNA from 1 species